UGGGGAAUAUUGCACAAUGGGGGAAACCCUGAUGCAGCGACGCCGCGUGAACGAAGAAGGUAUUCGUAUCGUAAAGUUCUGUCCUAUGGGAAGAUAAUGACAGUACCAUAGAAGAAAGCUCCGGCUAAAUACGUGCCAGCAGCCGCGGUAAUACGUAUGGAGCGAGCGUUGUCCGGAAUUAUUGGGCGUAAAGGGUACGCAGGCGGUUUAAUAAGUCGAAUGUUAAAGAUCGGGGCUCAACCCCGCAAAGCAUUGGAAACUGAUAAACUUGAGUAGUGGAGAGGAAAGUGGAAUUCCUAGUGUAGUGGUGAACUACGUAGAUAUUAGGAGGAAUGCCAGUAGCGAAGGCGACUUUCUGGACACAAACUGACGCUGAGGUACGAAAGCGUGGGGAGCAAACAGG
rnacentral:rRNA from 1 species